CAGGUCAUGGGUUGCCAGGGAGAGAGCAAGAUGGCGGCAGGGGGAUGACAUGGACACGGAUGAGUCAGACACGUAAUACUCUCACAUAAGUGACAUGUGCAGCAGGUCCGAGUAACUUUAGAUGAAAUAAGGACAACGAUGGCGUUGUUGUACAGCGUCUUAUGGCGGCUGCUGCUGUUCGUGCUUCACAGCAACAGAGCGCUGCUCUCCUGGCUGCGUGUGGCGCUUCGGAGCUGCAAUGGCCGGCUGUGGGAGCGGGCUGUGGCCGCGCUGCUCCUGCCCAUGUCCCUAGUGGGCUUCCACGACCGGCGGAGGAAAUGUAAUCACAACCCCGACGUGAAUGGCACUCUGGUAGCCGGAAACUGUGCUCGCAGCCGACGACACCGGUGGCUGACCGACGGCAGAGCUUUGGACAAGUUGCCGGUGCACGUCGGCCUCUUGGUAGCCGAAGAAGAGCACAGCUACACGGACAUUGGCAACAUGGUGGUGUGGUGCAUGGCGAUUGGAAUAUCCUAUGUCAGCAUCUAUGACAAUCAUGGGAUUUUCCGGAAGGACAACUCGAGGCUGCUGGAGGUGAUACUGAGACAACAGAAGGAUCUGCUAGGUGUGGAAGGAUCCAAAUACAAUGUGGAAUUCCUCAGUGAUUGUGCUGAUGAACACCAAAAUCACGUGUUGUCAUGCAAGCCCACAGUGAAGGUCUUGUCUCCAGAAGAUGGCAAGCAGAGUAUCGUUCACGCAGCACAGCAACUGUGUCGCUCCGUGGAGAACAAAGAGAGAAGCUUCAAAGAUAUUAGUGUCUCCAUGCUGGACACACUGCUAAGAGAGGCAAAUAAUAUUCCAGAUCCUGAGCUGGUGGUCAAGUUUGGUCCAGUAGAUAGUACUCUGGGUUUCCUCCCCUGGCACAUCAGACUCACUGAAUUCAUCUCGCUGCCGUCACACAGAAACAUCUCAUAUGAGGACUUACUGUGCACCUUGCAGCGCUUUGGCCAAUGUCAGCAGAGGCUGGGCCAGUGAUGUGUCCUCACUAAAGACCAGUUGACACUCAGGACGUCAGUGACGUCCCACACUGGAAGCGCCUCCAAGACAGUGAACAAGACUGGAGUCGAAGCCAGAUGGCUCACUUCCUGUCACCAGCUCAUGUACUACGAUGGAGGGACGUGCCGAGAGGAAAGAGGCCUCACUGACACGACGAUGAGAGGACCGUCUGUCCUCUACCACCAUCUCUACAACUGUUGCCAUUCAACUUCCAGCUGCUGUUUUGUCACUUGAUGCAGCACGCGGAGAAGAAAGCUGGCUUUGUGUCCCUGCUCAAAUGCAAAAUUCCAACGACGACAUUGAAAAGAUGACAGGAAGUGGACCCGAGGGUCAGAAUGAUUCAGGGCCGGAGACCAUGAGACGGGGGGGAAUAGUGGGAGCAGGAGAGAGACCAAGAGGCUGAAAAGCAAAGAGCGGGUCAGAAGGGACCGGACGGCUGAAAAGCAAAGGAAGAAACGUUGAAGAUGACAAGAACAAAAAUAAAUAAAAAACUCUCCUGUUGAAACCCACGUUCCGAGGUGUUGUGGUCACAUUGGUCCGUCUAACCCUGAAAGGGACGUAACAGACUUCCACAAUGGGUUAUUCCAGGGGUCUCCAAUAGGUAGUUGGUCUACAGAAUAUGGGCUAGUUUCAGGGAAAGUUUGGAAUCUGUGGAAAGAGAUUAAUUUGAAUUGCAACAAGGGUUUUCUAAAUCCCUGGUACUGCUUCAAUGACUGUGGUGUUCCUGUGCUUGACUGUCCUGCAAUCUCUCCGUAAUCCUAUAGAGAAUCUAUGCGGUAUGGUCAAGAGGAUAAUGAGAAGCACCACACCGUGCAAUGCUUAUGAUUUGGAGGCUGCAAGGAGCUUCCAUUACAUCUGAGCAGUAGAUACUGACACACCAUAUUGAUACAAUAAUACAAGCAACCAAGUAUUAAACGCAAAUUAAUGACCAUACUUUAUCACA